rnacentral:tRNA from 1 species
UGUAGCUCAGUGGUAGAGCACUUGCCCCAUAAGUAUGAGGCCCUGGGUUCAAUCCUCAGUA